rnacentral:lncRNA from 1 species
GAGUCACUCCAUCUGCGGAGGGGGCAAGAGACCUCAGAGGUGAUUUGUUUUAACCGACACAGUGGCUCCCCAUGGUGGAGCAUCGGCACUGGGGGAGUGGGCAGGGCAGGGCUCCCCGUCCUUGCUGCGGGCGGCUGCCUCAAGGGAGAGCAGCCUUGUGUGGGCUGGGAGGCUGGGGGAUGUUGGCCUCCUCCUCUUGCAUUCAGCUCAAGGACCACAGAGGGCGUGGGGGCAACACACUGCCCUGGGUACCCUGUGUUGGCUCCUGAGCUGCUCAGGGGGAUGGCUUCUUGUCACUGCCAGAACAUCGCUUGAUACAUGCCGAGGAGGAGCAGUUUAAAAGGCUCCUCCCCCAACCCCAGCCCUGAGGCCUGUCUCCCUUCCGCCUCUCCCUUUGCGCACAGGCCGGGGUGGGGAGAGCAGGAGCCGCAGGGCCACCGAGCUGCGAGCCACGCAGGCUCCGCCCUGGCUGUGGGGCGCAACUUUCCAUAUCCGGAUGCUGUCACUCACACAGCUGUGUCCGUCUGGGCGCUGACUUCCUUUGAUAUUCUGAGCCGCAGCCGGGAGCUCCGACCCAAAUCCAGCUACACAGACUUGCACUUGCUCCUUGAGAGAGAGGCCGGUGACGUUUCAGAGCCACUCCAUGCCUGGACAGGUGUCACGAUGGGUUGGAGUUAUCCAACCCCAACGGGUAUGUGCCCGUUUUCCUGCAAUUAACAGUCUCGGUGUUCAGUUCAACUGCAUUAGCCACACUCAAAAACUCCAGGGAAAUACGAUCCUUUGUUUCUAGUUCAUCCGUGGGUGCUGGUUACCGCAAGCCAAUCUUCAGAGUGGAAGUUUGUUGGGUCCCAAGGGGCCCCGGCCUUGGGAUCUCAGUG